UGGUGGAGCGAUUUGUCUGGUCAAUUCCGAUAACGAACGAGACUCUAGCCUACCAAAUAGUUCGGGGACCCCCACAAAGGGGCCCCGCUUCAACUUCUUAGAGGGACAGGUGGCGUUUAGCCACACGAGAUUGAGCAAUAACA
rnacentral:rRNA from 1 species